UACAGAGGUGGCAAGCGUUGUUCGGAAUUACUGGGCGUAAAGGGCGUGUAGGCGGUCAUGUAAGUGGGAUGUGAAAGCCCUCGGCUCACCCGAGGAUCUGCAUCUCAAACUGCAUGGCUUGAGUAUGGGAGAGGAUGAGGGAAUUCCUGGUGUAGCGGUGAAAUGCGUAGAUAUCAGGAGGAACACCGGUGGCGAAGGCGCUCAUCUGGCCCAAUACUGACGCUGAGGCGCGAAAGCUAGGGGAGCAAACGGG
rnacentral:rRNA from 1 species